rnacentral:rRNA from 1 species
AGUGAACGCUGGCGGUAGGCCUAACACAUGCAAGUCGAACGGCAGCACAGUAAGAGCUUGCUCUUACGGGUGGCGAGUGGCGGACGGGUGAGGAAUACAUCGGAAUCUACUUUUUCGUGGGGGAUAACGUAGGGAAACUUACGCUAAUACCGUAUACGACCUACGGGUGAAAGCAGGGGAUCUUCGGACCUUGCGCGAUUGAAUGAGCCGAUGUCGGAUUAGCUAGUUGGCGGGGUAAAGGCCCACCAAGGCGACGAUCCGUAGCUGGUCUGAGAGGAUGAUCACCCACCAUGGAACUGAGACACGGCCCAGACCCCUAGGGGAGGCAGGAGGGGGGAAUAUUGGAAAAGGGGCGAAAGCCUGUCCCAGCCAUACCGGGUGGGUGAAGAAGGCCUUCGGGUUGUAAAGCCCUUUUGUUGGGAAAGAAAAGCAGCAGGUUAAACCCCCGCUGUUCUGACGGUACCCAAAGAAUAAGCACCGGCUAAUUUCGU